GAAAUGCGAUAAGUAGUGUGAAUUGCAGAAUUCAGUGAAUCAUCGAAUCUUUGAACGCGCAUUGCGCCCUUUGGUAUUCCUUAGGGCAUGCCUGUUCGAGCGUCAUCUAAACCUUCAAGCCCUGCUUGGUGUUGGGUGCCUGUCCCGCCUCCGCGCGCGGACUCACCUCAAAUCCAUUGGCGGCCCCCGCGUCGGCCACGAGCGCAGCAGAAACGCGAACUCGUGAGCCCGUCCGGGCGGCUCCCAGAAGCUACACCCACCCAGUUUGACCUCGGAUCAGGUAGGGAUACCCGCUGAACUUAAGC
rnacentral:misc_RNA from 1 species